rnacentral:lncRNA from 1 species
UACGAAAAUAUGUUCCUUUAGCCCUAUAUCUUUAGGGAAAUAUGCUAUGUUGCCCCCUUUAUCUUUACAAAAUGUUGCGAUUUUGACCCCCUAUUUUGAGAAACAUUUUUAUUUCAUGACGUCUUCUAAACAAUUUUGCAACGUUUUGUAAAGUUAAGAGGUUAAAAAUGCAUUUAUACCAAAAUAAAUUAAUUAAAUCAAUAAUUUAUCAUCUCACAUAUAAUCAAGUUGGAAGAGAACAUCUCAUAUACAUCACAAUAUUUUUGACUAUAAGGAUGCACUUUCUGUUCAAGAGAAAUAUAAAGUCAGUUGUUUGAAAAUUAUAAGUGUUCUAAUAUUUUGACAUAAAAUUGAAGUUAUAUGCUUUGAAGUAAAAUAUUUUUGUUUUCAACUUAUCUAUUAAUACAAGUAUUCUUAUAGGUUACAUUAUUGGAAAUAAAAUAGGAUAUGUCUAUCUCCCGUGAGCAUAGCUCACUUGACGGCAGGAACAAUGCAUUACUAUAUACAGGGAUAGAGUUCGAAUCUAGACACCUCACUUAUUCAAUUUAAAAAGUAAAUUCUAGUUAAUAAACUGCUUUACAAAAAAAUGACAUGUCUAAACAAAAGGUCAUGACAAUACAUCCAAAAUUAAAAGAGAAAAUCAAUCUAAUUAUAAUACUCUUUAAUGCCUUGUUUCAUUACAUCAUCAAAAUCUUAGAGUAUAAAUCCAUAAGACUUAACCAUAAUUGUAAGGUCCAUGAAAUAAAAAAAAAAAAAAAAAGAAAAUUUAAACAUUCAACUAUUCAAUGCCAGUACAAUAAAUAAAUGCAUAUUAUGAGAUAUUCUAACAAAAGGUAUUAUAUAUUAUUUUCUUCUUCCCUUCAUGGCGUAAGGGCAACCUAUUAGGUCCAGUACUCAUACAAUCCAACGACAUAUACAUAUGUUUUGUUCGCACCUAUAUUUCAUAUACUUAGUAUCUGGUGGACAAUCACCAACAGUUACACAUUUAGUAAACGCUGUAAUGAAAAAUAAGAAUAAAACAAUGUUAUUAAAAUGACAUAAUAGAUUGUGUACGACCUACAAACAUAAGAAAGAAAUUUGAAAAAUCAUAAAAAUAUGGAUUAUCGACAACAUUCUCCACAACAAGGAAAAGAGGAAGGAAUAAAAUAAUAUCAUACACAAACUUUAGAGUUUUAGCAAUUUUCUCCUCUUUGCGUAUAACAAAUAGGAUAUGAUUUGAUCAUUUUAUAGGGUAUAAAACACCUGUUGUAUUAAAAAGAAUUUAGAACUCAAGGAGUUGUAAAAGCCCUCAUUGUUAAGUGUUUCUUCAGCAUAUCAAUAUAUUGUAUUUGUCCCUUUAGCACACUUACUAAACAGGUAACAUAAAAAAAGUUAAUGAUUAGAAAUCAUUACUUUUUAAUUAACUUUACAUCCUCUCUAAAUGCUUUCUUGAAUUCCUAAAUUAAUUCAUCCAUGAAAUAAUUAUGUUGUUAUAAAAAAAUAAAAAAUAAUGCUGUAUUGAUUAAUAAAGAUUUUUUUUAAAUGAUUCAUUUUUUUAAAACGAAAAUUGAAAGUCCGAAGACAUCAUUAUGACUAACUGACAUCUCAACUAUGCCAACACUCCAACCAACCAACCAACCAAAGACCAUUUACAAUUGCGAAAAUAAUAUUAUUUCGGUCUCAAAUUAUAAGCUGUUUUAGUAAUACCAAUGAAUGUUACUUCUUCUAUUAUACCCUUAAUAUUUUAUUAUUCUUUCUUCUCUCAGUUCUUUAAUUUGAUAUUCUCAUACCAUUGAUUAAGGAUAAUUUUAUAAAAUAAUUCAUAAUUUCUUUUUUCAACACAUAAUUAAUAACAUAUCUUAAUAUGCGUGAAAUGAUCAAGUCGACUUAUAAUUUUGGACGGAGGGGGUAUAUUAUUAUUAUAAGAGGAAAAAAACAAGGAGUGACAUAAAAAACAAUAGUACGGAAGGAAUGCAACAUAGAUACAUCGAGUGCAAGAAGUACUCAUUUUAAGACAACAUACAACCAAAGAUUAUCACCCCUAACAACAAGGCCAAUAAAAAAAAAAAAAGUCCUUGGCACCACAGCAAGAACAAAAAAGAAAACAAAAUCUUGCAGAGUGACUAGAGUUUUAACCUUACCGUCAAAGUUCUGUGCAACAAGGAAAAUGUUAUGUGCAAAAAGGAAAAGAGAAAGAAAGAAAAUAAUAACGUUCAUAAACUUUAGAGUUUUAACCAUUUUUUCUUCUUCUUUGCAUGUAAGAAAUAAAGCAUAAUUUGAUCACUUUAUACUAAAGCACUUGAUGUGCUAAAAAGAAUUUAGCCCUUAAGGAUUUGUAAAAAGUCCUCCUUAAAAUUAGAAUUAUUAGUAAGUGUCUCUUAAGUAGAUCAACGAGUUCACAUUUUUUUUGUUAAUCAAUAGAAUGCAUUCUUUUUUAUUAAUUAACUUUACAACCUUCAAUGAUAGAAAGGAGAAAUAUUAAAAAAAAAAAUAUACAAUCAGCGUGUAAACAUAGUCAUGCACAAUUUAAACAUAUUGUAUGAAUUUUAUAUAAAAAAUGAUUUGAUCAUAGGAAAUGAGUGUUGAUGAGUCAUAAAAUCAUGUUAUUUUCCAUAUUACGUUUUAACUUAUUUUGCAAGUAAUCUUUAUAAAAACCGCACUACAAGAAAAAUGACAUAUACCUAUGGAGGUUUACAGUAACGACACAAACGUAAGGAUAGAAAAUAUAUACAUGCGGAAAUAUCAUUGACCGUAGCUAUAGAAAGUGUUUUUAUAUACGGUUAAUGAUAUUGAAGGAAGAAUAAUAAAGAGAUGAAAUUGGAGCUAGGGUUACAAUGUUAAGAGGUUAAUCUAGUUUUCAUCAUCAUCUACCCUUUCUUCUCAAACUCCUCUUUCAAUUGACGAGGUGAGUUCUUUAAUAGGCUUUAUUUUUAAGUUAGGCUAAGUUUUGUUGUGAACGGGAAUAAUGAAUGCAUGUGAUGGUGAGAACGAGGGUUUGAGAAACCAAUGAUAGGAAUAACAUAAUUAAAAGUUUAGGAAUUGUGUGAAUUGAUAGAUUUAUAACCCAAAUUGCUGAUUUUUCGUGUAGGAAUUGGUACAAAGCAGAGUAUGGGCGCUCAUCGUCAGGGAUAGGGCGUUAGGUGGCCGUGGUCAGAGAGCUAGCGCUAGUUUCAAUGCUAAAAGCUUGUGUUCCGGCGCCAAUAUGUGUCUGAAGCGUUGUUUCAGGGCAUGAGUCUAAAAUUGAUUCUUAAACUUGAGUAUAAGCUCUUGGGUUUAUUUUGGGUAAAUAAAAUGAUAUAUUAUUCAUAGUUAGACACAAUAUAGAGAGAAAGAGGAAGAAAGAGAGUAAGAACACAAUAAAAAAAGAGUUAUCCAAAAGUAAUUCCAAAAUAGUUGUAUCAUUUCACUUUAUUAAAAGAGUUUGCGAAUUUUGUGGUGAAGGACAUGCUAAUGGUGAGUGUGUACCCGAGGGAGUGAGUGAGGAAGCCAAUUAUAUGAUAAAUUAUCAAGAAGAGAACUCUUACUCAAACACAUAUAAUAUGGGGUGGACACAAAAUCCUAACCUCAAAUAUUCAAACAACACCACCUUAAACCAAAUUACCUGCCCUUCCCAACAACAACCACAAUCAAAGCCAACCGCACUUGAAGAAGCUUUGACUAGUUUCAUCAAAUUAACCCAAGCCAACUUCCAAGAGCUGAAGUUAAAUGAAGAAAGUGUACAAAAGAACAAUGAAGCUUCCAUUAAGAACCUUGAAACUCAAAUUGGUCAGUUGUCAAAACUAAUGGCAGCACAAUCAAGGGGAGGUUUUGGUGGCAUUACUUCCAACAAUUAAAAGAAUGAUGCAUGUAAUAUGAGUGGAGUAGCUACCCCAAUGAGAGUGGAUAAGAGUGAGAAAAAGAGAGUUGAGUGUGAAGUUGAGGAGGAAGGGGAGAAAAUAGAGAAACUCAAAUAUGCAAGCUCCAUUUUGAGAAAGUCUAAAAGUAAUAUCCUCAAGGAUGGUGAUAAGCCUCUAAUGAUUCCAUACCAUGUGAUGUUGCCUUAUUCUCGUUUGAGUAAAAAUAAGGAAAUUGUUAAAUAUCCAAAGAAUAAGAAUUGCAAAGUCAUUGAAUUGAGAACCAUAAAUAUACCCAAACCAUUGAGUCUUGAGAAUACCAAAAGAAAGAUUGAUGAAGUGGGUAAUAAAGAUGAUGGCAAGGAUGAAGUUGGAAAUGAGCAAGAAAAAAAAAAAAAAGAGAAUGCUGUUGAAUCAAAGUGGAAAUAUCCACCCUGAAUAGGUGUUGGUGCGUCAAGCUCAAGGACGUAAAAGAAAGCGCUUGAUGGGAGGCAACUCAUCCUUUUCCCUUCUUUGUUAUUUGUUUAUGUUAUUUCCUUUUGUAUUGAGUCAGAUUUGAAGAGUGUCUCGAAUAAGAUUAUAUAAGUCCCUUAUUUUGUAAUGCAUCUGAACUUGUUUGAUUUUAAUGAAUUUACUUUUCUUGAAAUUUACCAGUUCAGUAGCAAAGACUUCAUCAACGGUUUGUCAAAAGUUCAAAGGAGGUAGUGCUUGCAUGAUUCUAUGAGGGAAGUGUACGGCAGAAAAUAUGCUUAGGUAGCCACAACUUUCAGAAACCUCAGCUUGCAAGGUUAUGCCUAAAUUUAUUUUUCAAUUUUUACAAAUAUGAGUGUUUCCAUGUAGGUGCUAUUUCUAGGAUUUGUGAUUUUUCUUUGUAAUUGACUGUAAAAAUACUAACUAAUGAGACAUUAUCAUUAGGCAUGUUUAUGUGUGUUAUGAUUGAAAAGUUCAAGUUUGGGGUUGCUUUUGGAACUAGCAACACUCUAAGUUUGGGGUACUAGAGAAAGAAAAAGAAAAUCACUUUGUACUAAAAGAAAAAUAUAUAUAAGCAUGAUUAAAUAAGCUGAAUUAUCAAAUUUGCUAACUAGGGAGAUGAACUUUUGACAUGAUCAUUGGUAGAGUAAGUGUUACUUUCCUGUUAUUUUUCAUUUUAAGUUGGUUCCUUGAGGACAAGUAAUGAUGCAAGUUUGGGGUUGGGAUGAUGCUCUGUCAUUACUCUUUUAGUAGGCAUUUUUCCAUGUAAUUUUUAAGUGAUAUUCAUUGUAAUUCAUGGAGCUGCAAGCCACAAAAUAGCAAAAAUUGGAGUUUUGAAGAUUCAAAAUUAAGCCACCGAAUCAUACCAUUCGGCCAUCGAAUUUGCUGCUGAAUUCUACAUGUUGUUUCAACAAAAAUCGGCCACCAAAGGUUUUGGUUCGGCCACCGAAAAUCCUGAUGGGCCACACGUUUUUAAUCAAUUUGGCCACCGAAUGGAGAGGCUCGGUGGCCGAUUUUUACAGGCUUAUAAAAGGAGAAAUCCGUUUUCAGAUUGAGGGUUCAUGAUUUUAGAGAGAAAAGACAUAUUUUGGAGCGGAGGCUUUGCAUAUCUGGUGGGAGACAAUCAAAACUCAUAUUCAGUCAUCUAAUACUCGUAUGAAUCCUUGUUUCUAUGGUAGUUAUCUUGUACUUUAGCUAUGAGUAACUAAUCUCUUUGUGGUUGAGACUUAGAUGAAUCUCAUGUAAUCUUAUGGGAACCAUAAUUUGUUGAACUCCUUUGAAUAUCAAUGGAAGUCUAGUUUUAAUUCAUAUUACUUUAUGUUUAAUGCUUUUUGUAUGUUUAUCAUCGACUACUAACCCUAACUUUAUGAAUAUGAAAAUUGAUCUUAGAGAUUAAAUGACCACUAACCAUGGCUUUCGAAUUUGAUCCAGGUAAUAAGUUUAACCUAAGUAAUCAUGCUAGAGAUAGAUCAUUAUUAGGUUAUGACAUAGGGAAUAACAUUCUUUUAAAACCUCAAACGUUUCAAAUUCACUUAAGAGAUUAAGGGAUUGUUACUUGCGGGGAGAACUAUAAAUCAAGAGAUUUGGUAGAGUUACUUUGUUAAUCUUUCGUGAAGCUAGAUAAUCAUUGAUUGAACUAGGAGUGCAAAUUACCAUAGGAGAACUUCGGAGGAUUCGAAGGUCUUAACCAUACUUCUCUCUAAUUUUCUAAAACCAAAAUUUUACCGUUUUUAAUUCAGUUUAUGAUACAACAAUCAACUCAACUGCCUAGGUCAACCCAUUGAAUUUAAUACAUCGUUAUUACUAAUGAAAUUGCCAAGUAGAAGUUAACAAUGGUCAUUGUGGAAAUGAAUUAUUCAUUACUUCGAUUGAAUUUGGUUCACUUGCCAAAUAUCUAUCGAUGAUACAUGUUUUUAAUAUGUAAUAAAUACUUUAUGACAACAUUAACUAAUUCUCUCUCUUCAAGGGUAAACUUGUAAAACAACAACAAUUGUCAAUAAAAUUGAUGCAAUAACCAACUUUCUUGAUUCCCGUGUUUUUUCAAAAGAAUUUUAUAUUUAGGGACAGACGUAGUACUAUUUUCUAAACCAAGUAGUUAUAUGGACGUCCAAAUUAAAUAAAUAAAUGGCAUAAAUGCAUUUUUGACCUUUAGCUUUUAAAUAGUGGCAAUUUUGGACCCUAACAAAAAAAAAAAUUCCCUCUAUCUUUAGGGAAAUGUGCUUUUUUGUUCCUCUAUCUAUAUGAAAAUAUGUUCUUUUAGCCCUAUAUCUUUAGGGAAAUAUGAUCUUUUACCCCCUUUAUAUUUACAAAAUGUUGCGAUUUUGACCCCCUAUUUUAGGAACACAUGGCGUCUUCUAUACAGUUUUGCAACGUUUUGUAAAGUUAAGGGGUAAAAUUGUUAUGUUUUCUGUUAGGGAACAAAAUCACAACUUUUUAAAAGAUAAGAGGUUAAAAAUGCAUUUAAACCUAAAUAAAUUAAUUAAAUCAAUAAUUUAUCAUCUCGCAUAUAAUCAAGUUGGAAGAGAACAUCUCAUAUACCUCACAAUAUUUUCGACUAUAAGGAUGCACUCUCCGUUCAAGAGAAAUAUAAAUUCAAUUGUUUGAAAAUCAUAAGUGUUCUAAUAUUUUGACAUAAAAUUGAAGUUAUAGGCUUUCAAAGUAAAAUAUUUUUAUUUUCAACUUAUCUAUUACAAAUAUUCUUAUAGGUGAAAUAAAAAAAAUAAAAAAAAAAUUUAAACAUUCAAUUACUCAAUGCCAGUACAAUAAAUAAAUGCAUAUUAUGAGAUAUUCUAACAAAAGGUAUCUUGCAUAUACUAUUAUUUUCUUCUUCCCUGCAUGGCGUAAGGGCAACCUAUUAAGUCCAGUACUCAAAGAAACCAACGAUAUAUACAUAUGUUUUUUACACACCUAUAUUUCUUAUGCUCAGUAUCUGGUGGACAAUCAGCAACAGUUUCACAUUUAAUAAUCGCUGUAAUAAAAAAUAAUAAUAAAACAAUGUUACUAAAAUGACAUAAUAGAUUGUGUACGACCUACAAACAAAAGAAAGAAAUUUGAAAAAGCAUAAAAAUAUGGAUUGUCGACAACAUUCUUCACAACAAUGAAAAGAGGAAGGAAUAAAAUAAUAUCAUACACAAACUUUAGAGUUUUAGCGAUUUUCUCCUCUUUGCGUAUAACAAAUAGAGUAUGAUUUGAUCAUAUUAUAGGGUAUAAAACACCUGAUGUGUUAAAAAGAAUUUAGAACUCAAGGAGUUGUAAAAGCCCUCAUUGUUAAGUGUUUCUUCGGUGUAUUAAUAUGUUGUGUUUGUCCCUUUAGCACACUUAUUAAAGAGGUAACAUAAAAAAAUUGUUAGUAAUUAGAAUUCAUUACUUUUUAAGUAACUUUACAUCCUCUCUAAAUGCUUUCUUGAAUUACUAAAUUAAUUCAUCCAUGAAAUAAGUAUUUUGUUAUAAAAAAAUAAUGUUGUAUUGAUUAAUAAAGAUUUUUUUUAAAUGAUUCAUUUUUUCAAAAUGAAAAUUGAAAGUGCAAAGACAUCAUUAUGACUAACUCACAUCUCAACUAUGUCAACACCCCAACCAACCAACCAACCACCAUUUACAAUUGUGAAAUAUAUUUUCUUUGUUUCAAAUUAUAAGUCGUUUUAGUAAAAAAAAUUGUCCCAAAAUAUAAAUAGUUUAAUCAAAGAAAAAUCAAUGUUACUUUUCCUAUUAUACCCUUAACUGUUUAUUAUUCUUUCUUCUCUCAAUUUUUUAAUUUGAUAUUCCCAUACAAUUGAUUAAGGAUAAUUUUAUAAAAUAAUUCAUAAUUUCUUUUUCCAACACAUACUUAAUAACAUUUCUUAAUAUGUGUAAAAUGACCAAAUCGACUUAUAAUUUUGAACAGAGGGGUUAUAUUAUUAUUAUUAUAAGAGGAAAAAAACAAGGAGUGACAUAAAGCAAAACUUAUUUAAAAAAACAAUAGUACGGUGGUACCGAAAAUCUGCAAGCCAAACUGUUCUUUUGAGUUACAACAUCUACAGACACAAAGGAAGGAAUAUGACAUAGAUACAUCGAGUGCAAGAAAUAUUCAUUUUAAGACAACAUACAACCAAAGACUAUCACACCUAACAACUAGGCCAAUAAAAAAAAAAAAAAAAAAGAGCCCUUAGUAGCACCACAACGAGAACAAAAAAGAAAACAAAAUCUUGUAGAGUGACUAGAGUUUUAACCUUACCGUCUAUGUUCUGUGCAACAAGGAAAAAGUUAUGUGCAGAAAGGAAAAGUGAAAGAAAGAAAAUAAUAACAUUCACAAACUUUAGAGUUUUAACCAUUUUUU